AAUCUGCCCCAUCUGAAACAUGAACACUGGCAAUCAAGAAGGGAAAUAGCCGCAGGCAGGCAAAAACAACAGGUGUCCACGGCAAGCCUCUGUUCAUAUCCUCCCCUCUGCCUGGAGCCCAUGGUGGAAGUAUUUACACCACAGAAAUGGGCAAAUGCUGCAAACCAGGGCUGUUUUGUUUGUUUGUUUUUCCCUUGGAGAGCCUCUUUAUCAGCACAACACUGCCAGAGAGGGGUUUGAAAAGUUCCUCUGGUCAGAGGUCAAAGAGCACUGACAAUUAGCCCCAAGAAAUCAGAACAGCCAGGUAUGGUGGCUCAUGCCUGUAAUCCCAGCAGUUUGGGAGGCUGAGGCAGGAGGAUCUUGAGCUCAGGAUUUCGAGACCAGCCUGAGCAACAUGGUGAAACUCCAUCUCUACAAAAAAUACAAAAAAUUAGCUGCGUGGUGGUGUGU
rnacentral:lncRNA from 1 species